rnacentral:rRNA from 1 species
UACACGCAAAGAUGCAAUGGCAAGAGAGCAAGAAAUUAAAACAAGGUCAAUCAAAAAGACAUUUGAUUGAUAGAAUACAAGACAGUAUAAAACUUGUGAAUAAAAUUGAGUGCGGGAUAGUGGCGGACGGGUGAGUAACGCGUGAAUAAUCUGCCCCAUACAGGGGGAUAGCCUCGGGAAACCGGGAUUAAAACCGCAUAACACUUUAUCACCGCAUGGUGAUGAAGUCAAAUCGAUUAAGAGGUAUGGGAUGAGUUCGCGUCUGAUUAGCUAGUUGGCGGGGUAAAGGCCCACCAAGGCGACGAUCAGUAGCCGGCCUGAGAGGGUGACCGGCCACACUGGAACUGAGACACGGUCCAGACUCCUACGGGAGGCAGCAGUGGGGAAUAUUGCACAAUGGGGGAAACCCUGAUGCAGCGACGCCGCGUGAGUGAAGAAGGUCUUCGGAUCGUAAAACUCUGUCCUUGGUGACGAAGGAAGUGACGGUAACCAAGGAGGAAGCCCCGGCUAACUACGUG